UACAUUAAAUCCUCUGAGAGGGGCAUAUGAGUGCCAGAAUUUGUUUAAAAGUUGUGACCGUGAUUUAUGGCUGUGUUGUGAAGAUAAGGGAUAUGCUAUUUUGCUUUCCAGAUGCAGGUAAGUUGAUGGUUUAGUGUGUUAGGACCUGGAGACAUUAUCUCAGUUUGCUUCAUGUGUGUUGCAUUAAUAAAAAGCAAUUAUGCAAUUGCUACAUUCUCUUUAAAAAAAUUCUGGCACUCAUAUGCC
rnacentral:misc_RNA from 1 species